GCGGUUACCACGGAGUGAUUCAUGACUGGGGUGAAGUCGUAACAAGGUAGCCCUAGGGGAACCUGGGGCUGGAUCACCUCCUUA
rfam:Endozoicomonas sp. S-B4-1T isolate SB41TT1 genome assembly, contig: SB41TT_contig_47